UACGUAGGGUGCAAGCGUUUGUCCGGAAUUAUUGGGCGUAAAGAGCUCGUAGGCGGUCUGUCGCGUCUGCUGUGAAAACUCAGGGCUUAACCCUGAGCUUGCAGUGGGUACGGGCAGACUAGAGUGCGGUAGGGGGAGACUGGAAUUCCUGGUGUAGCGGUGAAAUGCGUAGAUAUCGAGAGGAACACCAGCGGCGAAGGCGGCUCACUGGGCUCCACCUGACGCUGGAGGCGCGAAAGCGUGGGGGAGCAAACAGG
rnacentral:rRNA from 1 species